rnacentral:ncRNA from 1 species
GCAGAGUAGAGACCUGUGGGUUAAGUGUCCGGAGAACGGGGAGUUGUCUCCGGAACGAAAAAAGACGUCUUUUGCCGUACCGGUCUCGCAUCCCGCUGC